UACAGAGGUCUCGAGCGUUAGGCGGAAUCACUGGGCUUAAAGCGUGUGUAGGCGGAUUGCUAAGUACCUUGUGAAAUCCCACGGCUUAACCGUGGAACUGCUUGGUAUACUGGCUGUCUUGAGCCACUUAGGGGCGACCGGAACAAACGGUGGAGCGGUGAAAUGCGUAGAUAUCGGAAGGAACGCCGGUGGCGAAAGCGGCGUGCUGGACCUCUUCUGACGCUGAGGCGCGAAAGCUAGGGGAGCAAACGGG
rnacentral:rRNA from 1 species